rnacentral:rRNA from 1 species
UACGAAGGGGGCUAGCGUUGUUCGGAAUUACUGGGCGUAAAGCGCACGUAGGCGGCUUUGUAAGUUAGAGGUGAAAGCCCGGGGCUCAACUCCGGAAUUGCCUUUAAGACUGCAUCGCUAGAAUUGUGGAGAGGUAAGUGGAAUUCCGAGUGUAGAGGUGAAAAUUCGUAGAUAUUCGGAAGAACACCAGUGGCGAAGGCGACUUACUGGACACAUAUUGACGCUGAGGUGCGAAAGCGUGGGGAGCAAACAGG